rnacentral:rRNA from 1 species
GACGAACGCUGGCGGCGUGCUUAACACAUGCAAGUCGAGCGAUGAAGCUUCUUCGGAAGUGGAUUAGCGGCGGACGGGUGAGUAACACGUGGGUAACCUGCCUCAUAGAGGGGAAUAGCCUUCCGAAAGGAAGAUUAACACCGCAUAAGAUUGUAAUAUCGCAUGAUAUAGCAAUUAAAGGAGCAAUCCGCUAUGAGAUGGACCCGCGUAGCAUUAGCUAGUUGGUGAGGUAACGGCUCACCAAGGCGACGAUGCGUAGCCGACCUGAGAGGGUGAUCGGCCACAUUGGGACUGAGACACGGCCCAGACUCCUACGGGAGGCAGCAGUGGGGAAUAUUGCACAAUGGGGGAAACCCUGAUGCAGCAACGCCGCGUGAGUGAUGACGGUCUUCGGAUUGUAAAGCUCUGUCUUUAGGGACGAUAAUGACGGUACCUAAGGAGGAAGCCACGGCUAACUACGUGCCAGCAGCCGCCGUAA